GGUGCUUGAAGCCAUCUCUAAAACGCGUUGGGUCUGCCUUUGUCCAAUAAUGGAAUCAUUCAUUCGAAACUUGGAUUUGAACAGUUUAUAUAAACACAGCGAUCCUCCUGAUUUCCCUGAGGAAAAUCGGAGAAUUAAACAAACUGAAAAGAUCUGGGUGCUCUACUUCAGUGAACAAGGUCUCUCGCCUUCAACUUCAGGAAGCUCUACCAAAUUCAAGAAGGAACAUUAUUCUGAAAUUCAACUGCAAUGCGGCACACCCAGGAAGCACACCACACAAUUCAGUUCAAAGUCUUCCAUAACUGGAUCUUUGAUAGGAAGAGUUGAGGUACUUAGCGGGAUGAUUGGUUUGAGCUUGUCACGCCACGGCAGUUUGUUGGCCUGCCCUCCGCAACAGUGCGGCAAGAAGUAGCAAGACACGUGCGCUUCUGUGAGUACUGCUGAAGUGGAAGUUCUCUGGCUUCCGAUGUUUGCACAGUAAAUUCCGUGUCAACACGAACAGACAGCAGAUCUCAGAGGAGUUAGAGGUUUGAAUAGCUGGAGGACUGUCCUUCCUGACUCUGUCUCGAUCUUAGCACAAUCAGUCACUCCGAAUGAAGCUUGACCGGCACCUUCCCAGAAGAGAAGUUUUGCAGAAACUUUUUGCAGAAAGUUUUCCCAGAAGAGAAAAUUGCAGUUUCCAAUGAAAUGCUGUCUGAGAACUGCUGAAAAAGCAGGGCCAGCAAGAAAAAGACCAUCAUCUCUUCUUGAACGUGACUUCUUAUCCUCACGUCGAAGCUAGAGAAGCCUUUUCAUCGUAUAACAGCAAAAGGAGGGAGAGUGGGUUAAACACAUGAGCUGCUACCUGCACUGCGUAUUCUACGAGAUGGCUUUUCUCUACUGCACAGACAGGCAGAACUGCCAUAUGCUCAGUAGAACCAAAAUUUUCUGCUGGAAUGUAAACAAAAUGCACCCUGCAGAAGAAAUUGCUUUGGAACAGCAUGAGAGUGGGAAGUAAGUAGCACAUCAGAUGUGAUUCAGCGCAUCGCUUACAAUGGCUUGGUCGAGAGAAAGAGAAGGACUGAAAAAAGCAAGGAGGUCAGACAUGUCCAAUACCUGAUGGCGAAGGACAGCAAGAUCUAAUUCCAAGAGACACCGUGGAAAACAAAAAUCCACUAAGAAAGCAUUCCUUGCUGAAAGCCACUUCUUCCUCAUCAGCUCUACCCCAAAUCCUCAAACCUUGACAACUCAAUACAAGGCAGCAAACAACUAAACGAUGCUGCUUGCAGCGCUGAAAUAAUGACACCGGUCAACCCCAGACCAAGAGUUACUCCCGCCCCAACUCUACAGUUCGGGGGGAUACAGAGGAAGGGAGGGAAUGAGCGUGUUCAAGGGAGAAAAAUAAUAGACAAAGUUACAGAAAACGCAUUCAAAGCCUGAAAAAUGAACAAAAGGAAAAAGCAUUCCUGAUACUGUGGCCGGAUCUACUGCAUACGAGGAUAACAGAACUGGUCUCUGGUACCACAGGAGCCUCAGCAUUUCAUGGGAAGCCUUCUCCUUCAGCCUCCUGAAAGCUCUGUCUGCAGCUGAGAAACUGAAGCUCUGCCUCCAUACAGUAGUCCAGGAAUCAUCCCCAGAGCCUACCCAGUAACUGACCUUCACAGUGACCUGAGGAAUCGGGUAUAAUACUAGCUUUUCAGCAUUUCUGAAGAGGGAGCAGAGGCUAUCUAUCAUCUUACAGGUCCCUGAAGAGCAUAGAGACACCAUGAUAGGAGAUGCUGUGAUGCAUUUUAGAAAUGGAACUUGUGGACAAAAGCUAUAUUUGCUUUAUUUCGUUAAAAUAAAUACUAGUGAAAUUAGGUCUUGUACCAGUGGAUGGAAUUCAGAGAGUCAGGACUAUUCAUGGACUACAAGACCCAAAAAUCUAUGUCUUCCAAUUCCAGACGUCUAUCUAUUUAAUCCACAUGAGAUUCAUUUACCACAAUCAAAAUAACAAUUUGGAAAGUCAUAGUAAAUUUUCACGAAACGAUGGAAUUAAAAAUAUAUAUAUUUCAUUUGAGAUUGCUAAUGAGUACCUCAAAUCAACGUGAGGCAAGCAACAUCGCUUUGUGGACAGUUCUACAUUUGAAAGCAUUUCCUUGGAGUUGUUUGCCUUCAAAAGGGAGCAUCAUGGAGUGUUUAUUGGCUCAAGACUUGGCCUGGGAGAAAAUGAAAGUAUUGCAUCUUGUGAAGGCAAGACAGCUGGCCUCUCCCUGCUACCUCUCAUCUCCUGACUUAAAUUUGCAGUUCUGGAAGACAGGAACAAAGGAGUUCGAGAUGAAAUACCAAAGCCAGAAGCUGUCACUCCAAAAGAACAGGCUUACUUUGGACUAUAAGUAAGAGUUUGUACUGUCAUUGUAUUUGUCAAGUGAACUACAGAAGUUCCAACAACCCAUCGCUACUGCAGAUCAGCACCUAGCACCAAGACAUCGCUGGAUCCAGGAGUGAUGGCAGGUUCUACCAUCUCACUCAGCCAUUGAACUGUGAGGAAUCGUUGCCAGUUUUGGCUGCUUGAGCAAAGUCAUAUGGAAGUAUAUGCUUACACAGUCCAGGAAUAUUCACAGGAAGAACAGCAACAGACGGGAGACAGAAAUGUUAAUAUGGAGUACGAUAUAAAAAAAAGAAGUGCUUGUGUACCCCCUUCGUGCUGGACUUGGCUGAUUUAAGACACUCACCAAUGACACAGCUGAAUCUCUCCACUGCCCAAUUACUCACAGGUGGAUGACACUGACCUCACCUUGACUCUGCAGCUGUCAGCAAACUUCACAUAACAAUUGUGAUUCCAGUGCCUUCCUGUCAUGACUCCAGAUGUAGGUUGGUGAGCCAAACUGCAACAUUACACGUUUUCUUAAUGCAGCCUUCGUGCCUCUAUUCUCCACUGGCUGCUCCAUCACAUUCUAUUUUUGAGAGCUGCCGUACUCUUACCAGUAAAGACUUCCAGCUGUUUGCUUGGUUUGGGGUGCUUUGUUUCUUUUUUCGGCAAGGUCUUUUGAGUCCAUCUGUUGGAACGCGCAGGAUUUAGUAGACUGACUCACUUGUCCUUACAAAGCUCUUCUUAUUCAUAUUGAUUGAUAGGUAAGACGAGAAAAGCACCCACAAGAAUUCAGUUGGGCACUCUGCUUUUCAAACACUGAUGGGUAGCAGCCAUUAUCAGGACUUCUCAGUACAAUUCAGUGCAAGUUAAACAGCCAACUGUGCUGCUCUCUUACGAGGUAGCAGCCUUCUAAGAAGGAAGGCUGUCUGAACUGUCCUCAACCUUUCCAGUUUGAACUAUUUUUGAUAGAUCCAAAAGUAGCUCUGGAUUCUCACACCAGUCCUGCUGGUAAUAUCACAAGACCCUAAAAUCUAUUUUCUACCAACUACUUGUCACCCCUCCCUGCAACACAUAUUGGGCGGUCAAUGAGUAGUUGGACAAUAUGUGCAUUCAACUGUAUAAGCAUCUUUCAGGCUUAUGCUUUUUAAGAAAUAAAGGGAAGUCUGUGCAGUCUCCAUAUCCCGCAAGUUCCCAAACUAGCAAAUACGAAAAGCGUUCUCAAUAACCAGAAGUUAAAAAGCUCAAUUUAAUUCUCUUUCAACCUGUAACAUCAAAAAAUCCCUGAUGGACAUUUACCAGGUGGUUCAGUUUAUUAAAAACAGAUUUAUUACAGUUACCGUGCAAGGAGAGGAUGGGUCUAGGAAUUUAAGAUGAGCACAUUUCAGAGACCUCUUCUUCUGCAACUGAAAUGCUUUUCAAAUUCUGUCUAGACAAAGCUGCCUUAGUUAUCAAACAUUGUACGUGCUGGGGAUUUCUGCAGGAGGGGCUGCAGAGACACGGAAGGUCUUACUCUAUCUCUGAAGGAACGCUCCAAUGCUCCAGCCACAGUCAGUCUGCAAAACCACCCACACUGAACUGAACACUGAACCACCACACUGAACUGAACACUGAACCCACAGAACUUUCACGGAGGACACGUGUAUGUAUUCCUGUCUCAAGGGUUAGAUGAGAGCCAAAGUCAAUUCCUGUUUACUACUGAUCACGGGCUCCUAAGUUUUCACCAAUUCUAGUUGCUACUUAUUACACAAUAGCUUUGAAUUUUUCCCUUAGGGCACCUCACUUUGCUGCUCACAUAUUGAAACAACUUGUCAGUAUGUUCCCAGCCAAAAUACAGUAAAGGGCAUAUUUCUUUAACAACACAUGCUAUAAUUGAAUCGUAUUUUAAAUUCCUGCAUAAUUUCACAUAUUUGUUAAUGUGACUGUAAUCGUGAACAAGUUUCAUUAGCAUUGUCUCUUACAGUCUUUUAAAAAUUCAUCUCUGGAAGGCAUUUGAGAGGAUUCAGAAAUAUUAAGCUGAAAUUUUAUUCAAGAAGUCCAAGUUUGACAGAAGACUGAAUCACAACACCUCUUCUUACAUUGGUCCAUGUCUUAAAAUCCAGUUGUUGUCCUGUUCUUCCCUCAAGCACUGCAUGUACUAUGCAGUUUCAAUUAAGCUUCGGUUUUUGCAGAAAAAAAGCACACACAGAAAACAAUUCUUAAAACCAAGCGUGAAUACUUGACUGUGAGAACAGCCAUUUUGGCCCAAAGGCCUUUUGCAGCAUGGACACUAAACAAUCGUAUCUACUGGUGCCAUUUCUCACAUACAGGUUCCAUUACUAAAAGAAAUAUCUUACACUUGUAAUAUCAGGUCAUAUUUGCAAGAGAGAGACAUACCCAAGUUUACAAGGCAAAACUCAGCAAUGCCAUUUGCACUGCAGAUUUAUGGAUAACAACAGACUGUGCCUUACCUGACUGUAGUUCUGAUGGUGUUAUCUUUAUUGUGAUUGUGCUCUUUGCUCACCUUUUCUGCAGAGGA